CCUGGUGAAAUUAGCGCUGUGGAACCACCCGAUCCCAUCCCGAACUCGGAAGUGAAACGCAGCUGCGCCGAUGGUAGUGUGGCUCAAGCCAUGCGAGAGU
rnacentral:rRNA from 2 species